rnacentral:piRNA from 1 species
UAGAAGAACUGAUGUGCUCUGACCUGCAACA